rnacentral:rRNA from 1 species
AGCGAACGCUGGCGGCAGGCCUAACACAUGCAAGUCGAACGAACCCUUCGGGGUUAGUGGCGGACGGGUGAGUAACACGUGGGAACGUGCCUUUAGGUUCGGAAUAACUCAGGGAAACUUGUGCUAAUACCGAAUGUGCCCUUCGGGGGAAAGAUUUAUCGCCUUUAGAGCGGCCCGCGUCUGAUUAGCUAGUUGGUGAGGUAAUGGCUCACCAAGGCUACGAUCAGUAGCUGGUCUGAGAGGAUGACCAGCCACAUUGGGACUGAGACACGGCCCAAACUCCUACGGGAGGCAGCAGUGGGGAAUCUUGGGCAAUGGGCAAAAGCGUGACGCAGCCAUGCCGCGUGGAUGAUGAAGGUCUUAGGAUUGUAAAGUCCUUUCACCGGUGAAGAUGAUGACUGUAGCCGGAGAAGAAGCCCCGGCUAACUUCGUGCAAGCCGCCGCUGUAAUAC